AAAGUUUGAUCCUGGCUCAGGAUGAACGCUGACAGAAUGCUUAACACAUGCAAGUCGAUGGGGAAGUGGUGCUUGCACCAUGGUAACCAUGGCGGACGGGUGAGUAACGCGUAAGGAACUUGCCUGCGGGACUGGGAUAACAGCAGGAAACUGCUGAUAAUACCGGAUAAGGUCAUUAAGCUGCAUAGCUUAGUGAUGAAAGGAGACGCCUGCGGAGAGCCUUGCGUCCUAUUAGCUAGUUGGAGGGGUAACGGCCCACCAAGGCGAAGAUAGGUAGCCGGCCUGAGAGGGUGGACGGCCACAAGGGGACUGAGAUACGGCCCUUACUCCUACGGGAGGCAGCAGUGGGGAAUAUUGGACAAUGGGGGCAACCCUGAUCCAGCAAUUCUGUGUGCACGAAGACGGUUUUCGGAUUGUAAAGUGCUUUCAGCAGGGAAGAAGUAAGUGACGGUACCUGCAGAAGAAGCGACGGCUAAAUACGUGCCAGCAGCCGCGGUAAUACGUAUGUCGCGAGCGUUAUCCGGAAUUAUUGGGCAUAAAGGGCAUCUAGGCGGCCUUUCAAGUCAGGGGUGAAAACCUGCGGCUCAACCGCAGGCCUGCCUUUGAAACUGAUAGGCUGGAGUACCGGAGAGGUGGACGGAACUGCACGAGUAGAGGUGAAAUUCGUAGAUAUGUGCAGGAAUGCCGAUGAUGAAGAUAGUUCACUGGACGGUAACUGACGCUGAAGUGCGAAAGCCGGGGGAGCGAACAGGAUUAGAUACCCUGGUAGUCCCGGCCGUAAACGAUGAUUACUGGGUGUGGGCAGGAAGACUGUCUGUGCCGAAGCGAAUGCGAUAAGUAAUCCGCCUGGGGAGUACGGCCGCAAGGCACAAGCGGUGGAGCAUGUGGUUUAAUUCGACGCAACGCGAGGAACCUUACCAGAUCUUGACAUCCCGCGAACGCCCAUGAGGAUGGGCGGUGCCUUCGGGAACGCGGAGACAGGUGGUGCAUGGCUGUCGACAGCUCGUGUCGUGAGAUGUUGGGUUAAGUCCCGCAACGAGCGCAACCCCUGUUGCUAGUUACCAUCAUUAAGUUGGGGACUCUAGCGAGACUGCCUGCGAAGAGCAGGAGGAAGGUGGGGAUGACGUCAAGUCAUCAUGCCCCUUAUGAUCUGGGCUACACACGUGCUACAAUGGGCUGUACAGAGAGGAGCGAGGCGGUGACGCGGAGCGAAUCUUGAAAGCAGUUCGAAGUUCGGAUUGAAGUCUGCAACUCGACUUCAUGAAGUUGGAAUCGCUAGUAAUCGCGGAUCAGCAAUGCGGUGAAUACGUUCUCGGGUCUUGUACACACCGCCCGUCACACCACGAGAGUUGUCUGCACCUGAAGUUACUGGUCUAACUUUGGAGGAAGGUACCUAAGGUGUGGAUAGUGAUUGGGGUGAAGUCGUAACAAGGUAUCCGUACCGGAAGGUGCGGAUG
rnacentral:rRNA from 1 species